UACGGCUACCUUGUUACGACUUAGUCCCAGUCACCGAGCUCACCGUCGGCCGACGCCUCCCUUGCAGGUUGGCGGAUCGGACUUCGGGCGCUCCCAGCUUCCAUGACUUGACGGGCGGUGUGUACAAGGCUCAGGAACACAUUCACCGCGUCAUGGCUGAUACGCGAUUACUAGCGAUUCCAACUUCAUGGAGUCGAAUUGCAGACUCCAAUCCGAACUGAGGCCGGCUUUGUGCGAUUUGCUCCACCUCGCGGUAUCGCGUCGCUCUGUACCGACCAUUGUAGCACGUGUGACACCCUGGGCAUAAAGGCCAUGAGGACUUGACGUCAUCCCCACCUUCCUCCGGCUUAACGCCGGCAGUCUCGUUAGAGUCCCCGCCAUGACGCGCUGGCAACUAACGACAGGGGUUUCGCUCGUUAAGGGACUUAACCCGACACUUCACAGCACGAGCUGACGACAGCCAUGCAGCACCUGUGCACGUUUCACCCGAAGGCAGCUUACUCGACUUUCAUCAAGGGCAUCCGUGCAUGUCAAACCCAGGUAAGGUUCUUCGCGUUGCUUCGAAUUAAUCCACAUGCUCCACCGCUUGUGUGAGCCCCCGUCAAUUCCUUUGAGUUUUAGCCUUGCGGCCGUACUCCCCAGGCGGCGC
rnacentral:rRNA from 1 species